AUUCCAUGGUGAGGGCAUUUGCUCAACAACUCCUUAAACCUCUCCCAUGCCUCAUAUAGAGAUUUCUCAUCAAGAAGCUGAAAUGAAUUAAUCUCAUUGUAGAGCUU